AUUGCACGCUGGCGGCAGGCCUAACACAUGCAAGUCGAGCGGAGCGGCGGACGGGUGAGUAAUGUCUGGGAAACUGCCUGAUGGCGGGGGAUAACUUCUGGAAACGGUAGCUAAUACCGCAUACUCUCAGAUGAGCCUAGGUCGGAUUAGCUAGUUGGGGGGGUAAAGGCCUACCAAGGCGACGAUGCGUCACUGGCCUGGGAGGAUGAUCAGUCACACUGGAACUGAGACACGGUUCAGACGCCGACGGGAGGCAGCAGGGGGGAAUAUGGGACAAUGGGCGAAAGCCUGAUGCAGCCAUGCCGCGUGUGUGAAGAAGGUCUUCGGAUUGUAAAGCACUUUAAGUUGGGAGGCGUUACCAGCAGAAGAAGCACCGGCUAACUUCGUGCCAGCAGCCGCGGUAAUUC
rnacentral:rRNA from 1 species